ACGAGAACAGAGGAAUUACAAGAUGGAGGCAUCGAAGAGGAGGAGUCGGAGGAGGAGGACGAAGAGGAGGAAUUGUACUGUGUGGUGUGUGGGAAGAAGUUCAAGAGUGAGAAACAAUGGAGAAAUCACGAGCAGUCCAAGAAGCAUAAGGAAAAUGAGAAAAUGGCAGCUUUGACAUGACGAAGAUGAUGGACGGAGCAAGUCGCCUGCGGUGUAAGU
rnacentral:misc_RNA from 1 species